rnacentral:rRNA from 1 species
UAGGGAAUCUUCGGCAAUGGGGGGAACCCUGACCGAGCAACGCCGCGUGAGUGAAGAAGGUUUUCGGAUCGUAAAGCUCUGUUGUUAAGGAAGAACGAGUGUGAGAAUGGAAAGUUCAUACUGUGACGGUACUUAACCAGAAAGGGACGGCUAACUACGUGCCAGCAGCCGCGGUAAUACGUAGGUCCCGAGUGUUGUCCGGAUUUAUUGGGCGUAAAGCGAGCGCAGGCGGUUAGAUAAGUCUGAAGUUAAAGGCAGUGGCUCAACCAUUGUAGGCUUUGGAAACUGUUUAACUUGAGUGCAGAAGGGGAGAGUGGAAUUCCAUGUGUAGCGGUGAAAUGCGUAGAUAUAUGGAGGAACACCGGUGGCGAAAGCGGCUCUCUGGUCUGUAACUGACGCUGAGGCUCGAAAGCGUGGGGAGCGAACAGG